CCUACGGGUGGCAGCAGUGGGGAAUAUUGGACAAUGGGCGAAAGCCUGAUCCAGCCAUGCCGCGUGUGUGAAGAAGGCCUUCGGGUUGUAAAGCACUUUCAGUGGGGAAGAAAGCCUUGGGGCUAAUACCCUCGAGGAAGGACAUCACCCACAGAAGAAGCACCGGCUAACUCCGUGCCAGCAGCCGCGGUAAUACGGAGGGUGCGAGCGUUAAUCGGAAUUACUGGGCGUAAAGCGCGCGUAGGCGGUCUGAUAAGCCGGUUGUGAAAGCCCCGGGCUCAACCUGGGAACGGCAUCCGGAACUGUCAGGCUAGAGUGCAGGAGAGGAAGGUAGAAUUCCCGGUGUAGCAGUGAAAUGCGUAGAGAUCGGGAGGAAUACCAGUGGCGAAGGCGGCCUUCUGGACUGACACUGACGCUGAGGUGCGAAAGCGUGGGUAGCAAACAGGAUUAGAUCCCCUAGUAGUC
rnacentral:rRNA from 1 species